AUUGAACGCUGGCGGCAGGCUUAACACAUGCAAGUCGAACGAGUGGCGGACGGGUGAGUAAUGCUUGGGAAUCUAGCUUAUGGAGGGGGAUAACUACGGGAAACUGUAGCUAAUACCGCGUACCAUAGGAUGAGCCCAAGUGGGAUUAGGUAUUUGGUGAGGUAAAGGAUCACAAAGCCGACGAUCUCUAGCUGGUCUGAGAGGAUGACCAGCCACACUGGGACUGCGACACGGACAAGACUCCGACGGGAGGCAGCAGGGGGGAAUAGUGCGAAAAGGGGGGAACCUGACGCAGCAAUGCCGCGUGAAUGAAGAAGGCCUUCGGGUGGGAAAGUUCUUUCGGUAGCGAGGCGUUAACUACAGAAGAAGCACCGGCUAACUCCGUGCCAGCCGCCGCGGUAAUUC
rnacentral:rRNA from 1 species